rnacentral:rRNA from 1 species
AUUGAACGCUGGCGGCAGGCCUAACACAUGCAAGUCGAACGAGUGGCGGACGGGUGAGUAAUGUCUGGGAAACUGCCUGAUGGAGGGGGAUAACUCCUGGAAACGGUAGCUACUCCCGCCUACCAUCAGCUGUGCCCAGAUGGGAUUAGCUAGUGGGUGGGGUAACGGCUCAACAAGGCGACGAUCCCUAGCUGGUCUGAGAGGAUGCCCAGCCACACUGGAACUGAGACACGGUCCAGAAUCCGACGGGAGGCAGCAGUGGGGAAUAGUGCACAAUGGGCGCAAGCCUGAUGCAGCCAUGCCGCGUGUAUGAAGAAGGCCUUCGGGUUGUAAAGUACUUUCAGCGGGGAGGCGUUACCCGCAGAAGAAGCACCGGCUAACUCCGUGCCAGCAGCCGCGGUAAUAC